ensembl:lncRNA
AUGUUAGCGAUCAUUAUUUUGAUUAUAACAGUAAUUUUUAUUAUUACUUCUCAUGGCAACACAGUAUUAUUUUGGAUGACUCUACAAUGUCAGAAAGUUUUCCUUAAAUCAAGCCCAGGUUUUUCUCUUUGCAGCAACCUCAUAUCUCUACUAGUUCUGCCUUCUGAGCCCAAGCAGAAAAAAAACUUAAUCUCUCUUCAAGUCUGCAAAAAAAAAAAAAAAAAAAAAAAAAAAAAAAAAAAAAAAAAAAAAAAAAAAA